GGGGAAUUUUCCGCAAUGGGCGAAAGCCUGACGGAGCAAUACCGCGUGAGGGAGGAAGGCUCUUGGGUUGUAAACCUCUUUUCUCAGGGAAGAAUAAUGACGGUACCUGAGGAAUCAGCAUCGGCUAACUCCGUGCCAGCAGCCGCGGUAAUACGGAGGAUGCAAGCGUUAUCCGGAAUGAUUGGGCGUAAAGCGUCCGUAGGUGGCGAUGCAAGUCUGCUGUUAAAGAGCGGGGCUCAACUCCGUAAAGGCGGUGGAAACUGCAUAAGCUAGAGUAAGGUAGGGGUAGAGGGAAUUCCCGGUGUAGCGGUGAAAUGCGUAGAGAUCGGGAAGAACACCGGUGGCGAAAGCGCUCUGCUGGGCCAAAACUGACACUGAUGGACGAAAGCUAGGGGAGCGAAAUGGAUUAGAUACCCCUGUAGUC
rnacentral:rRNA from 1 species